CUACGGGUUGCUCCAGUGAGGAAUAUUGCACAAUGGGGGGAACCCUGAUGCAGCAACGCCGCGUGGAGGAUGACGCAUUUCGGUGUGUAAACUCCUUUUAUAUGUCAAGAAAAUGACGGUAGCAUAUGAAUAAGCACCGGCUAACUCCGUGCCAGCAGCCGCGGUAAUACGGAGGGUGCAAGCGUUACUCGGAAUCACUGGGCGUAAAGGACGCGUAGGCGGGUUGGAAAGUCAGGUGUGAAAUCCUACAGCUUAACUGUAGAACUGCACUUGAAACUGGUAACCUAGAGUAUGGGAGGGGCAGAUGAAAUUAGUGGUGUAGGGGUAAAAUCCGUAGAUAUCACUAGGAAUACCUAAAGCGAAGGCGAUCUGCUGGAACAUAACUGACGCUAAGGCGUGAAAGCGUGGGGAGCAAACAGGAUUAGAUACCCGGGUAGUC
rnacentral:rRNA from 1 species